UACGUAGGGUGCAAGCGUUGUCCGGAAUUAUUGGGCGUAAGAGUUCGUAGGCGGUUUGUCGCGUCCGUUGUGAAAUCCCGCGGCUCAACCGCGGGUCUGCAGUCGAUACGGGCAGGCUAGAGUUCGGUAGGGGAGACUGGAAUUCCUGGUGUAGCGGUGAAAUGCGCAGAUAUCAGGAGGAACACCGGUGGCGAAGGCGGGUCUCUGGGCCGAUACUGACGCUGAGGAGCGAAAGCGUGGGGAGCGAACAGG
rnacentral:rRNA from 1 species